GAGAUUGAGUCUAUCAGCAGGAAGUCAAACUAACUUCAUUUCACAAAGAUACAAACUUGCAGCCUGAUUUGUUUUUAAUUUCCCUGCCUUCUCAGGCCUCACAAACAGGGCCUGUAAAUUCCUGAAACUUCAGAACGAGACCUCAGCUAUACAAAGAAGAUUUCAAGCUUGAUUUAAAGGGACCACUGGGAACACGUGGAAAAAAAACCACUGAGACAGAACAUGUGAGAUGAGCUGAGGACUCUCCCCACCACGCACCUUUUAUAUUUACAGUGAUCUUAAUGCAUGAAGAAACAACAAACAAGAGCUCUCCAAAGAAUGGAGGUGUGACUUCAUACUCAAGAAGACAGGAAGUGCCUGCUCAGCUCAAGGGACACAGGAAGGGUGGGAGCAGCCUCAACGUGGGAAUUGCAACCGAGAUUGGAAGCACAGCAGCCAAAUGCAGUAAAU